CACAUGCCUUAUGUCUAGAUAGUAUAUUAGGUGUCAACAUGUCUAGAUAGUAUAUUAGGUGUCAACAUGUCUAGAUAGUAUAUUAGGUGUCAACAUGUCUAGAUAGUAUAUUAGGUGUCAACAUGUCUAGAUAGUAUAUUAGGUGUCAACAUGUCUAGAUAGUAUAUUAGGUGUCAACAUGUCUAGAUAGUAUAUUAGGUGUCAACAUGUCUAGAUAGUAUAUUAGGUGUCAACAUGUCCUGUAUGUCUAGAUAGUAUAUUAGGUGUCAACAUGUCUAGAAAGUAUAUUUGGUGUCAACAUGUCUAGAUAGUAUAUUAGGUGUCAACAUGUCCUGUAUGUCUAGAUAGUAUAUUAGGUGUCAACAUGUCCUGUAUGUCUAGAUAGUAUAUUAGGUGUCAACAUGUCCUGUAUGUCUAGAUAGUAUAUUAGGUGUCAACAUGUCCUGUAUGUCUAGAUAGUAUAUUAGGUGUCAACAUGUCCUGUAUGUCUAGAUAGUAUAUGAGGUGUCAACAUGUCCUGUAUGUCUAGAUAGUAUAUUAGGUGUCAACAUGUCCUGUAUGUCUAGAUAGUAUAUUAGGUGUC